rnacentral:rRNA from 1 species
UACGGAAGGGGCGAGCGUUGUUCGGAAUCAUUGGGCGUAAAGGGCGCGUAGGUGGUCUUGUAUGUCUACCGUGAAAGCGUACGGCUCAACCGUAUUUUGUCGGUAGAAACUGCAGGACUUGAGGCUGGGAGGGGCUGGUGGAAUUCCCUGUGUAGCGGUGAAAUGCUUAGAUAUGACAUAGAACACCAAUUGCGAAGGCAGCUGGCUACACAAAUAUUGACACUGAGGCACGAAAGCGUGGGGAUCAAACAGG